GACGAACGCUGGCGGCGUGCUUAACACAUGCAAGUCGAACGGAAAGGCCCUGCUUUUGUGGGGUGCUCGAGUGGCGAACGGGUGAGUAACACGUGAGUAACCUGCCCUUGACUUUGGGAUAACUUCAGGAAACUGGGGCUAAUACCGGAUAGGAGCUCCUGCUGCAUGGUGGGGGUUGGAAAGUUUCGGCGGUUGGGGAUGGACUCGCGGCUUAUCAGCUUGUUGGUGGGGUAGUGGCUUACCAAGGCUUUGACGGGUAGCCGGCCUGAGAGGGUGACCGGCCACAUUGGGACUGAGAUACGGCCCAGACUCCUACGGGAGGCAACAGUGGGGAAUAUUGCACAAUGGGCGGAAGCCUGAAGCAGCAACGCCGCGUGCGGGAUGACGGCCUUCGGGUUGUAAACCGCUUUCGCCUGUGACGAAGCGUGAGUGACGGUAAUGGGUAAAGAAGCACCGGCUAACUACGU
rnacentral:rRNA from 1 species